UACGUAGGGUGCAAGCGUUGUCCGGAAUUAUUGGGCGUAAAGAGCUUGUAGGCGGUUUGUCGCGUCUGCUGUGAAAUUUCGGGGCUCAACCCCGGGCCUGCAUUCGAUACGGGCAGACUAGAGUUCGGUAGGGGAGACUGGAAUUCCUGGUGUAGCGGUGGAAUGCGCAGAUAUCAGGAGGAACACCGGUGGCGAAGGCGGGUCUCUGGGCAGUAACUGACGCUGAGGAGCGAAAGCGUGGGGAGCGAACAGG
rnacentral:rRNA from 1 species